UACGUAUGGUGCAAGCGUUAUCCGGAUUUACUGGGCGUAAAGGGAGCGCAGGCGGCGCGCCAAGUCUGAUGUGAAACCCCGGGGCUCAACCCCGGGCAUGCAUUGGAAACUGGCGGGCUGGAGUGCCGGAGAGGUAAGCGGAAUUCCUAGUGUAGCGGUGAAAUGCGUAGAUAUUAGGAGGAACGCCAGUGGCGAAGGCGGCUUACUGGACGGCAACUGACGCUGAGGCUCGAAAGCGUGGGGAGCAAACAGG
rnacentral:rRNA from 1 species